AAUCGAAUGCAGAAAGGGGCUUUCAUCUUUGAAUACAUGGUGAGCCCAUGUGUCUGGUUUUGUUCUGAGUGUCAGGGCUACAGCCAUUCUCAUCAGUUUCUGAACUACAAGUUCAGCUACAGGCACCCUCCUGAGACUAGAGCUCCUAGGAGCCAGCAGGUUGUCCAGAGUGGGAUUCAGUGUAAUAAAAGAGUAUCAUACUUCUGUUAGAUAUUGUUCUGCUCUUUCUCUCUCGAGGUUUUUUGCUUUGGAACCCAUGCUGUAAAUGCUGAAGAGUGAUCACCAUGGUGAUGAUUCAGGGCUUUGUGAUGUGUUCAUUCAACAUGACUUUAUUGUAAUUGUGGAAUUAAUAGUUACCAUUUUUCAGAAUUACUAUAUUCCAACCACGGUGCUAAAUACUCACAUACAUUAUCUCUUUUAAUUCUCAUAACAGUCCUGUAAGGUAGGCGUUAUUUCCAUUUAGUUAUAAGAAAACUAAAGCUCCAGAGAAAGUAAGUGACUUGAUGAAGGUCACACAGCUUCUAAGUGGCAGAGCCAAAACUUGAACUCAGGGCUCUGUGACACCAAAGCCCAGUCUCUUUCUCUUACAUACGGCUCUGCCCAGCACUGUAAAGAAGCCUCACUAUGAUCUUGGUUCAGGGAGGUGCAGCCAGGAAGCUUCGGUGUUCAGGAUUUUUGUGCAUCUAAAAUGAAAACCGCCUGAGGUGUUGGAGGACACUAGUAACUGCAAAUAUAUUUAAGAGCUUGUAGGAAGCAAAGAAACUUCCUGGAAAACCAGGCUUGCAAAACUCAGGUGCACAAGUGACUUUUACUGGUAGUGGUGUGCACAAAUAACAGUAAAAUGACUCACAUUUGGGCUUGAUUCACGGAUAUACUUGGUAGCUAUACCUGUGAGAAGAGGGUGUAAAUUGGAAAUUGCAUCACAGCUUUGCAGGUGUACCAAUGUGUACUCUCAGGUAGCUUGAGAGAAGCAACUGCUUGUGCAGGCAAAAGGCCCAACUACCUGAGUUGUUCUUUCCCCGACAUUCUGUAAAGAUUUACUGAGGGCCUACCAUGCAUCAGGCCCAGCUCUGUGCAGACACUGGGGAUAUGGAAAGGAAUGACACAUGGGUCUUUCCCUCAGGACGUAGUAGGAGUUGAUGGUACACUUGGCACCCAAGCAAACCCGUGGCUCUUCAUCCUCCAGAAAGUGGUGAAGUAGGAAAGUUUGCCCUUUCACAGACAAACUGACCAAGGACCAAAGGGAAGUGAGUUGUUGGAGGUCAACCAGCCAGUAAAUAGAAACUAGAAGAGAGUUCUCUCUUAGGCCAUAUUUAUCUUGUUCACUGUUUUAUUCCCAAUACCUAGUGUACAAGACUUGGCACAGAAUAGGCAUUCAAUAAAUUCUGAAUGGGUGAACUGGUUCUGAGAUUCCCUCCAAAGAUGAGGGUGCAUAUUCGUAGGGGGAUAAAAGAAGGCUCCUCUGUAGCCUCUCACCUCCAUCUUCGCUCCUGGCCACAGGAGCAAAAAAAAAAAAAA
rnacentral:lncRNA from 1 species